CGGUUCUUCGACUUAGGUUUAGUGGAGAAAAAAAAAAGGGUUUCGAGGAGAAAACGCAGAUGAGAGCGAUGAUAUAUGUUCUGAUUUAGCUCCAAUAUUCAAUCUUCUCCAACUCUAGCUUCAAUUCAAGCUUUGUUCGUCAAAUAUACUAAAUUAUUAACCUUCAUCUCAAUUUCCCAUUGAACUUAGGGUUUUCCCAUUGAGUAAUUUAAACAACAAAAAUUGAGCUGAGAAAAAAUGGAUUGAAGAACUGAAAUGCUUCAACUACACAAGUAUGUAUGAACACCAUAUUUCUAAGGGUUGGAUUGGUGUUUGAAUCAAUAGUAUCAAAUUGGGGAUUUUUCUUCUCCAGGUUUAAUUGAUGAAACAAAUGGAAACUACUGGAACUUGCUCUGUUAAUCAGAGAUAAAACAUGACCGCAGAGUAGCUGGCCAUUCAACGAGCAAUGAACCGUGAUCGACAAAGAAUCUGUUGGAAAAACUUGACGGAGGAGCAGAGGUCUACUGUACCCGAGCAGAGUUCAAGGGGUAUACUAGUAUUAAUUAAAUGAUAGUAUUAAAUUAUAGAUCUGAAUAUUGUAUAUAUAUAUUAGGCUAGAGAGGGUAAGUAGAGGAUCCAACCAUUCUUAUCUCAUUUUCUCUCCUUCUUCUUCCUUGUUUCCCUAUAGACCUUAUAAACUCCCUUAUAGAUAGUUACCUAUUAUAUGUUCUUAUAUUAGUAGUUUGAUAAUAAUAUCUAGAGUGGUUUAUGGAAUGGAAGAAGCAUGUUGUCUAUGAAUUGAUUUAUUGGUUUCCUUGGAGUAUAAACUAUGAGAUGAUAAACAAUUAUCAAGGUAGGUUUACUAACUCAUCUUCUAAUCAUAUUUAUUUGUGAUUUUAUGGAUUGGAAA